UACUGGCUUCAUAUAAUUCUGAAAACACAAGUUUUCUUGAAGCCUCUUGCUCAUAUCUCUCAUCAAAGGGUGCUAUUCUAUAAUGUUUCUUUAGCAGAUCCCUCGCUAAUCCGAGCGAGCUUUCAAAUAUUUGUCCCAUAG
rnacentral:rRNA from 1 species